GUAGGUAUAGUUUAGUAAAAUAUUAGAUUGUGAUUCUAAAGACAGGGGUUAGUCUCCCCUUACCCACC
ensembl:Mt_tRNA